rnacentral:tRNA from 1 species
GGAGGUGUAGCUCAGAGGUAGAGUGCUCGCCUAGCAUGCAUGAGGUCCCAGGUUCAAUCCCCAGCGCUGCCA